CAUGGGAAUAUAGAGUAAUCGAUAGGCCCGCAACACCCCGAGUCCCCGACGAAUCGACAAGGAAUUCUUCUGACGCCACCAAGUCACCAGUGAUAUGAUGGACAACGAUGGAUCAGAAGGAAUGAAUGCCAAAUAAACGCCGCCUCAAAACAUCGAGGGGAUGCACGGAGCACAAGGAAGGGUCCCCAUUCUCCCCAAUAAUAGCAUGGAGGCGAUUGUGGCACCGGUUUUAAUAAGGCUAGACGAUAAUGACUUGAUGACGGGAAUACCUUCCCGGAUAGCUUGGAGGAAAUGUAUUCUGUUAGGAUCUCUUUAGUUGGAUCGGGGUUUCAUCUGUAAUUUCCACCCAUCGUCGGCAGCAUGGCGAUCGCGAAAUCUGACAUGGGACGGACAUGGCUGGCUGCACUGUUUUCGGACAUGGUCAAAAACACGUUCUGAAUGUGUACACUGCGUACAGAGUACAGACUCCAAGAAUGCAUCCAUGGACGAAAGGAACAAUUACGCAUGGUUUCGGUGAGCUGAACACCAGCAAUAGCAGGCAUGGAUCUGGUCGUUGGGCCC
rnacentral:sRNA from 2 species